rnacentral:rRNA from 1 species
CAGCGCCACGAGUGGGAAUCAUUUUUAUUGGGCCUAAAGCGUUCGUAGCCGGUUUGGUAAAUCCUUUGUGAAAUCGUACAGCUCAACUGUGCGGCGUGCAUAGGAGACUGCCAAACUUGGGACCGGGAGGAGCUGGAGGUAUUCUGGGGGGAGCGGUAAAAUGCUAUAAUCCUCAGAGGACCACCUGUGGCGAAGGCGUCCAGCCAGAACGGAUCCGACGGUCAGGAACGAAAGCCAGGGGAGCGAUCCGGAUUAGAUACCCGAGUAGUCC